AGCCUUUUGAAUCCAUGCAAAGAUUUCACCAAGCACCAACCCAUUAGGGCUGAUCAGACUUCCAAGAUAAGUGAAGUU
rfam:Schistosoma mattheei strain Denwood, Zambia genome assembly, scaffold: SMTD_scaffold0001104